CCUACGGGUGGCAGCAGUGGGGGAUAUUGCACAAUGGGGGGAACCCUGAUGCAGCGACGCCGCGUGGGUGAAGGAGCGUUUCGGCGCGUAAAGCCCUAUCGGCAGGGAAGAAGAUGACGGUACCUGGCCAAGAAGCCCCGGCGAACUACGUGCCAGCAGCCGCGGUAAUACGUAGGGGGCAAGCGUUAUCCGGAUUUACUGGGUGUAAAGGGGGCGCAGACGGCAAUGCAAGCCAGGAGUGAAAGCCCGGGGCCCAACCCCGGGACUGCUCUUGGAACUGCAUGGCUGGAGUGUGUGAGAGGAGAGUGGAAUUCCAGGUGUAGGAGUGAAAUCCGUAGAUAUCUGGAGGAACAUCAGUGGCGAAGGCGACUAUCUGGCACAUAACUGACGCUGAGGAGCGAAAGCGUGGGUAGCAAACAGGAUUAGAUACCCCGGUAGUC
rnacentral:rRNA from 1 species